rnacentral:rRNA from 1 species
CGUGUAGGCGGCUGGAUAAGUCAGAUGUGAAAGCCCUGGGCUUAACCUAGGAAGUGCAUUUGAAACUGUUCAGCUUGAGUAGGGGAGAGGAAAAUGGAAUUCCUGGUGUAGAGGUGAAAUUCGUAGAUAUCAGGAGGAACACCGGUGGCGAAGGCGACUUUCUGGCCCUAUACUGACGCUGAGACGCGAGAGCGUGGGUAGCAAACA